AUUGAACGCUGGCGGCAGGCCUAACACAUGCAAGUCGAACGGCAGCACAGAAGAGCUUGCUCUUUGGGUGGCGAGUGGCGGACGGGUGAGUGAUGUCUGGGAAACUGCCCGAUGGGGGGGGAUAACUACUGGAAACGGUAGCUAAUACCGCAUAACGUCGCGAGACCAAAGUGGGGGACCUUCGGGCCUCACACCAUCGGAUGUGCCCAGAUGGGAUUAGCUAGUAGGUGGGGUAAUGGCUCACCUAGGCGACGAUCCCUAGCUGGUCUGAGAGGAUGACCAGCCGCACUGGAACUGAGACACGGUCCAAACUCCUACGGGAGGCAGCAGUGGGGAAUAUUGCACAAUGGGCGCAAGCCUGAUGCAGCCAUGCCGCGUGUAUGAAGAAGGCCUUCGGGUUGUAAAGUACUUUCAGCGGGGAGGAAGGCGGUGAGGUUAAUAACCUUGCCGAUUGACGUUACCCGCAGAAGAAGCACCGGCUAACUCCGUGCCAGCCGCCGCAGUAA
rnacentral:rRNA from 1 species